rnacentral:rRNA from 1 species
UACGGGGGGGGGCAAGCGUUUGUUCGGAAUUACUGGGCGUAAAGGGCUCGUAGGCGCCAACUAAGUCAGACGUGAAAUCCCCAGCUCAACCUGGGAACUGCGUCUGAUACUGGUUGGCUUGAAUCCGGGAGAGGGAUGCAGAAUUCCAGGUGUAGCGGUGAAAUGCGUAGAUAUCUGGAGGAACACCAGUGGCGAAAAGCGCGAGACUGGGCCAUAACUGACGCUGAGGAACGAAAAGCCAGGGUAGCAAAAGGG